UGGCUGCAACAGCUGGAGCUGUGCCUAUCUGAAGCCAGGAGCCAGGAGCUUCUUCCUGGUCUCCCAGGUGGGUGCAGGGGCCCAAGGACUGGGCCAUCCUCCACUGUUUUCACAGGCCACAGCAGAGAGCUGGAUCAGAACAGGAGCAGCUGGGACUCAAACCAGCACCCACAUGGAUGCUGGCAGCACAGGCGGAGACUUAGCCUACUACCCCACAGUGCCGGCCCCCCCCCUCUCUCUUUUUUUUAUUGUUGUUUUUCAACAUCUGGUACGAUGGGGGAUGGAAUUCCUUCUGUGGGUGUUUCUCUCUGUUCUUCUCUUUGCUUGCUUGGGUAGACUUCUGAACAGAAUGUUCUAGCCAGUUUCUAAUACCCACCCCCCUUCCCCUCUGAAAGCUGACAGAACUGGAUCCCAUUAGUAGCGGCACCCAUGGCCUGGGACGUGAUCUUCCAGUUCCCGUGCGAGUGAGGAUCCUGGGCACUCUGAGGAAGCUGCUGGAGGCCGGGCUGUGGUCUCCUCUCCUCCCUGCCACCCUGUCCAGCCUCCAGUCCACCCGGGCAGGCACCCUCUAGGCUUUGGUCCUGGUCAAGGGGGAGCAUGUGAUGACAGCGACAGCGAGAGAGAAGCCGAGAGGGAGAGAGAAACUGAGGGGGAGAGAGAAGCCAAGAGGGAGAAAGAAGCCGAGAGGGAGAGAGAGUGGCUGCUCUGUGUGGCCGGCUGCAGCCCUGAGCUGGAGGCCAGGCCUCUGUCCAGCAGCCCCCCCCCCAGACUCCACCAUUUCCUGUCCACCUCUUUUUCUUUACGAGACCAGGGUUACAGACUGAAGGACAUGCUCAGGGUUCAAAGACGCCUCGAGCCCCAGCGGAGCUCUGUGAGACUCAGCCGUGGAACGACUUCUUAGCUGGGAAGCACUUCUGCUUGUUCCACCAGUGCCACUUUCUUCUUGCUAUCACCGUUAAACAAGACACCUGCAAUGUGCUGAUUGGCUGAGGCCGCUCCAGCGGGAAGUGUGGGAAUACUCUGACGCUACCAUCAUCACCCUGGAAGCUCCUGUUUCAAAGUGGAAACGAGGUGGCUGGCAGCCACCUGACCAGGAAUCUACACAUAGGGUCUCUCUGGAAGUCUGCAGGCAGUGGGGUCCGUUUGGUCGGGAUGUCGCCAGCUGAUUGGCCUCAUGUGGCAGCUGCACAGAGGAGACUUGAGUCCCCGGCGACAAGUAAAGCGGACAGCGAGGAGGAGCUGUCCUCAAAGAACCUGCCUCCCGAGAGGCGCUUUGCUGGAGAUUUUAUAGCGAGCAUUAGGGGCGUGUCCAGGAUGUAGAAAAGGGUGGCCCUCCCCGCUCAUGCAGCACACAGAGUUCAGCACUCUGCCCUGAGCCAGCGUCCUGGUGCUCUGCCCUAGGGCCCUCCGCGUGCCGUGGUGCAGAAGGAGCCUUCUUGGGCCGUCCCUGGAAAAGGAGCUCCAGGAGUGAACCGCGCCGGGUCCCCUGCCCUCGCCCUGCCUGCGCCCCCUCCUGCCUGGCAUUUUUGGUUACAGAGAGUUCUGUGCUCCAGCCCCCGUGACCCCAGCACGUAAUGAAGAAAUCACUGCUUGGUUUCUUUGCUAGAAUCCUUUACUUGUAUCGGUGUCCCUAAGAUACCAUGCUGUGAAAUACUGCCAGACUCCAGUAGUACUACAUUUAGUAUAUAUCACAAUAGGACACCACCCAGGGUUUCUAAUUUGGCAUAUUAGUUUCACAUGCUGAUGAUUGUCAACUCUUCCAAAAAUAUAUCAUGACAGGAAUUUGUUUGCUUUUAUAUUUUGCAAGAAGGAUUUCAACAACCAAGUCA